rnacentral:rRNA from 1 species
CCCAGACUCCUACGGGAGGCAGCAGUGGGGAAUAUUGCACAAUGGGGGGAACCCUGAUGCAGCGACGCCGCGUGGGUGAAGGAGCACCUCGGUGCGUAAAGCCCUAUCGGCAGGGAAGAAAAGCGAACAGGUUCGCCUGGACGGUACCUGACUAAGAAGCCCCGGCUAACUACGUGCCAGCAGCCGCGGUAAUACGUAGGGGGCAAGCGUUAUCCGGAUUUACUGGGUGUAAAGGGAGCGUAGACGGUUACGCAAGUCUGGAGUGAAAGGCGGGGGCCCAACCCCCGGACUGCUUUGGAAACUGUAUAACUGGAGUGCAGGAGAGGUAAGUGGAAUUCCUAGUGUAGCGGUGAAAUGCGUAGAUAUUAGGAGGAACACCAGUGGCGAAGGCGACUUUCUGGACUGUACCUGACGCUGAGGCGCGAAAGCGUGGGUAGCGAACGGGAUUAGAUACCCCGGUAC